rnacentral:rRNA from 1 species
AAGCCUCGGGACGCAGCAGUGAGGAAUAUUGGUCAAUGGGCGCGAGCCUGAACCAGCCAAGUCGCGUGAGGGAAGACGGCCCUACGGGUUGUAAACCUCUUUUGCCGGGGAGCAACGGGCGCCACGUGUGGCGCCACUGAGAGUACCCGGAGAAAAAGCAUCGGCUAACUCCGUGCCAGCAGCCGCGGUAAUACCGAGGAUGCGAGCGUUAUCCGGAUUUAUUGGGUUUAAAGGGUGCGUAGGCGGAGCGUUAAGUCAGUGGUCAAAUUGAGGGGCUCAACCCCUUCCCGCCAUUGAAACUGGCG